AGAGUUUGAUCCUGGCUCAGGAUAAACGUUGGCGGUGUGCUUUAUGCAUGCAAGUCGUACGAGGCUAUAGUUUUCGGAUUAUAGUUUAGUGGCAAAUGGCUGAGUAAUACAUAGGUAACCUGCCUGUGAGUGGUGGAUAACUUGCUGAAAGGCAAGCUAAUACAGCAUGUGGUGAACAAGGAUUUCUUGUUUAUCAAAGCCUUCGGGCGCUCGCAGAGGGGCCUAUGCCUGAUUAGCUAGUUGGUGAGGUAACGGCUCACCAAGGCUUUGAUCAGUAGCUGGUCUGAGAGGAUGGUCAGCCAGAUGGGGACUGAGAUACGGCCCCAACUCCUACGGGAGGCAGCAGCAAGGAAUAUUGGGCAAUGGGCGAAAGCCUGACCCAGCGACACCGCGUGAGGGAUUAAGGCCUUCGGGUUGUAAACCUUUUCUCGAGGAAGAAGCUCUGACGGUACUCGAGGAAUAAGCCACGGCUAACUACGUGCCAGCAGCCGCGGUAAUACGUAGGUGGCAAACGUUGUCCGGAUUUAUUGGGCGUAAAGAGAGUGUAGGCGGCUUAUUAAGUCAAGUGUUAAAUCUUCUGACUCAAUCAGGAGCUGCAUUUGAUACUGGUAGGCUUGAGUGCAGCAGAGGAAAACGGAAUUCCCAGUGUAGCGGUGAAAUGCGUUGAUAUUGGGAAGAACACCAGAGGCGAAGGCGGUUUUCCAGGCUGUGUCUGACGCUGAGACUCGAAAGCGUGGGGAGCGAAGCGGAUUAGAUACCCGCGUAGUCCACGCCUUAAACGGUGGACAUUAGGUAUGGGAAGUAUCGACCCUUUCUGUGCCGUAGCUAACGCUUUAAAUGUCCCGCCUGGGGAGUACGGUCGCAAGGCUAAAACUCAAAGGAAUUGACGGGGGUCCGCACAAGCAGCGGAGCGUGUGGUUUAAUUCGAUGAUACACGAAGAACCUUACCAGGGUUUGACAUGUCAGAAGUAGGAAGCCGAAAGGUUUACGACCUGUAUCCAAUCAGGAACUGUCACAGGUGCUGCAUGGCUGUCGUCAGCUCGUGCCGUGAGGUGUUGGGUUAAGUCCCGCAACGAGCGCAACCCUUGUUCUAUGUUAAUUUCUCAUAGAAGACUGCCUUGUACAGCAAGGAGGAAGAGGAGGAUGACGUCAAGUCAGCAUGGCCUUUAUGCCCUGGGCUACACACACGCUACAAUGGGUAAUACAGAGGGUUGCCAAAGAGCGAUCUGGAGCUAAUCCCUUAAAAUUAUCCUCAGUUCAGAUUGUAGGCUGAAACCGCCUGCAUGAAGUCGGAGUUGCUAGUAAUCGCAGGUCAGCUAUACUGCGGUGAAUACGUUCUCGGACCUCGUACACACCGCCCGUCACGUCGUGGAAGUUGGAAACACCUGAAGUCAAUGUGUUAACUUGCUUAGGUAAGAAAUAGUUGUUGAAGGUGGAGCUGGUAACUGUGGCGAAGUCGUAACAAGGC
rnacentral:rRNA from 1 species